GGAAUUGUUCGCAAUGGGCGCAAGCCUGACGACGCAACGCCGCGUGGAGGACGAAGAUCUUCGGGUCGUAAACUCCUGUCGAGCGGGACGAAACCCGCGGGGACGAAUAAUCCCUGCGGCUGACGGUACCGCUAAAGGAAGCCCCGGCUAACUCCGUGCCAGCAGCCGCGGUAAUACGGGGGGGGCAAGCGUUGUUCGGAAUUACUGGGCGUAAAGGGCUCGUAGGCGGCCGACUAAGUCGGAUGUGAAAUCCCCAGGCUCAACCUGGGAACUGCAUCCGAUACUGGCCGGCCUGAAUCCGGGAGAGGGAUGCGGAAUUCCAGGUGUAGCGGUGAAAUGCGUAGAUAUCUGGAGGAACACCGGUGGCGAAGGCGGCAUCCUGGACCGGCAUUGACGCUGAGGAGCGAAAGCCAGGGGAGCAAA
rnacentral:rRNA from 1 species